CCUUAUUCCCCGUUUGGUCCUUUUCUAUUUAAAGUCCCUCUAUAAACAAUCAUAAACAUUUCUGUUCUCUUGUUUUCAAGCAUUAACAUACUGUCCAACGUAGUUUUUAUUUUUGGAAAGCCAAAGGAUGUUUGAAUUAUUUGUGCUAGGAUGUACUGGUGUUGUGAUGUUCCUUCAUGGAGCCAAUUUCUUCUUCCAUGGCCUCUCUCAUCAUAUGGCCAUUCGUUCUCUCAGCUUCUUAGGAUUUGUUGGUUGGUAAAGAAAUGUCGAGAAUGAUGAGCUAAAGGAAGCUUACACGAACCGCCAUGCUUUUUGUAAAUUAUAUUGGUUUAACUAAUUGUUUCUUUUCAUUUUCAUUUUAAGGCAGAGAUUAUUAUAUUGUUGUGGUCCACAAUAGAAAAUGAUAGAUAAGGGAAUAUAUCCUGUAAAUUUUAAUCAUUGAAAGGCUUCGCCUUGCUUGAAGUGUACUCUGCCUAUUAGAUAAAAUAUUUGUCUUUUUAAUAUUUUGAUUGAUGUUUA